AACGUUGUCUUCAAGUAUUUUGUUGAUGUCAUCAACACUACUGGCAUCACUAAUCUGAAAAUCAAGAAAACAACUUUAUUGAAAGAAAAAUGGAACGUAAAAAUAUCUUUAAUACGUAAUAAAGUUUUGUCCAAGUCAAGUAAUGAUAUAUCUAAAUCAUCUCAACAAACCAGGGCCUUGGAAAAAUAUUCGACUGUCGUCUUUUCCGGCUUGAUGUUGGUGUGGCUGAUGGUAACCCACCAAAAGAACUUGGCAGCUG